CCUGUCACUAUCUACAUAAAGGAAGAUGAAGGAUUCAAGGAGACGCAUCCACCAUCAGACGCAGCGAAAAGUUCAACUUGGUUUAGUUGUCUUGUAUCAAAUUUUUAUUUCUUUUUCAUUAUAUAUACUUCUUUAUUUGAUCAAUGAAAAAUAUUUUUAUUGUAAUCUCCAUGUUUCAUUCUCAGUUUCUUACAAUUUAUUAUUUAUUAUUUAUAUUUUUUAAAUAAUCAACUUAAAAUUUCUAUGGAUACAAUCCGACU
rnacentral:lncRNA from 1 species